GACCUCAAAUCAGGUAGGAUUACCCGCUGAAC
rnacentral:rRNA from 1 species